rnacentral:lncRNA from 1 species
CUGUCGAUUAAGAAACAUGGCCCUGUAAUGGGUAUAAUAGUGACCUUAACAUGAAUAUCUGAGAGCAAUAUUUCGAAACUUGACAUGAAUACAUGACAAGAAUGAUUUAUGAUUCAUGAUUGUGAAAUAUACAUGAUUUUAUGCAUGCAUGAUUGGUUUAUGACUUAUUUUAUUAUAUGCUCUAUAAAAUACUUUAUUUUAUAUUAUCUGUUAUUUUUUAAAUAUUAUAUUAUCAUAAAAAAUUUAUACUUGAUCCGAUAAAGAAGCGCAAGUUCUACUUACUGGGCUAGUGUAGCUCAUAUCUUUUUUAUUUUUCUUUUCUUAUACAGAGAAAUAGGGCUA